rnacentral:miRNA from 1 species
UUCACAAUCACCUGGAGACUUGUUAAAAUACAGAUUUGCUGGGCUCCACCCACAGAUUUAGGAACUUAUAUUUCUAACAAGCCUCUGGUGAUGCUGAU